GACGAACGCUGGCGGCGUGCCUAAUACAUGCAAGUCGAGCGAGUCUGCCUUGAAGAUCGGAGUGCUUGCACUCUGUGAAACAAGAUACAGGCUAGCGGCGGACGGGUGAGUAACACGUGGGUAACCUGCCCAAGAGAUCGGGAUAACACCUGGAAACAGAUGCUAAUACCGGAUAACAACAGAUGAUGCCUAUCAACUGUUUAAAAGAUGGUUCUGCUAUCACUCUUGGAUGGACCUGCGGUGCAUUAGCUAGUUGGUAGGGUAACGGCCUACCAAGGCGAUGAUGCAUAGCCGAGUUGAGAGACUGAUCGGCCACAUUGUGACUGAGACACGGCCCAAACUCCUACGGGAGGCAGCAGUAGGGAAUCUUCCACAAUGGACGCAAGUCUGAUGGAGCAACGCCGCGUGAGUGAAGAAGGGUUUCGGCUCGUAAAGCUCUGUUGUUGGUGAAGAAGGACAGGGGUAGUAACUGACCUUUGUUUGACGGUAAUCAAUUAGAAAGUCACGGCUAACUACGUG
rnacentral:rRNA from 1 species